GCGCAUACAAAGAGAAGCGACCUCGCGAGAGCAAGCGGACCUCAUAAAGUGCGUCGUAGUCCGGAUUGGAGUCUGCAACUCGACUCCAUGAAGUCGGAAUCGCUAGUAAUCGUGGAUCAGAAUGCCACGGUGAAUACGUUCCCGGGCCUUGUACACACCGCCCGUCACACCAUGGGAGUGGGUUGCAAAAGAAGUAGGUA
rnacentral:rRNA from 1 species